rnacentral:rRNA from 1 species
UACCUGCAGCUCGAGUGGUAACCGCUAUUAUUGGGCCCAAAGCGUCCGUAGCCGGUUUGGUAAAUAUCUGGGUAAAUCGUGAGGCUUAACUUCACGAAUUUCGGAUGGACUGCCAGACUUGGGAUCGGGGGAGGUCAGAGGUACUCCAGGGGUAGCGGUGAAAUGUUGUAAUCCUUGGAGGACCACCGGUAGCGAAGGCGUCUGACUAGAACGAGUCCGACGGUGAGGGACGAAGCCCUGGGGCGCAAACCGGAUUAGAUACCCGGGUAGUCCAGGGUGUAAACGAUGUGGGCUUUGUAUUGGAGGUCCCACGUGGGCGUCCAGUGCAGAAGAGAAGUUGUUAAGCCCACCGCCUGGGAAGUACGGCCGCAAGGCUGAAACUUAAAGGAAUUGGCGGGGGAGCACAGCAACGGGAGGAGCGUGCGGUUU